AUUGGUUUACUGAUGUUUUUGAAUAAAUUCAAUGAUUACUGUUGCAUAUAUAAAUUAAUCUUCAAAUUGCGAUACAAUAUUUCAAUAACGCGAAACAGAUUUCUUUUUCCGAUUGGCGCAUGCGUAUGAGGCCGACAUUUUGAAUUUAUUUGCGCCAAUUUGAUUACCACAACAAGUUAACAGUUGCUCUAAGCAGUGCAAAAUGAUGUCUUACCAAUAAACCCAUGUCUGAAAAAUACAUAUCGGGUAAAAAGAAUAAACAUGCCUUUGGUGGUUCAAGCUUGUUUGACAUAAUAAGGGGAUGCUGUAGUUACGAAUGACGGAGACCACAAUAUGGAAC